rnacentral:rRNA from 1 species
CGGCGGACGGGUGAGUAACGCGUGGGUAACCUGCCUCAUACAGGGGGAUAACAGUUGGAAACGGCUGCUAAUACCGCAUAAGCGCACAGUACCGCAUGGUACGGUGUGAAAAACUCCGGUGGUAUGAGAUGGACCCGCGUCUGAUUAGGUAGUUGGUGGGGUAACGGCCUACCAAGCCGACGAUCGGUAGCCGACCUGAGAGGGUGACCGGCCACAUUGGGACUGAGACACGGCCCAA